rnacentral:rRNA from 1 species
GUAGGGUGCAGGCGUUAAUCGGAAUUACUGGGCGUAAAGCGUGCGCAGGCGGCUCCUUAAGUCAGAUGUGAAAUCCCCGGGCUUAACCUGGGAACUGCGUUUGAAACUGGGGAGCUAGAGUGUGGAAGAGGGGGGUGGAAUUCCAGGUGUAGCAGUGAAAUGCGUAGAGAUCUGGAGGAACACCGAUGGCGAAGGCAGCCCCCUGGGCUAACACUGACGCUCAUGCACGAAAGCGUGGGGAGCAAACAGGAUUAGAUACCCUGGUAGUCCACGCCCUAAACGAUGUCAACUGGUUGUCGGGGAAGCAAUUCCUUGGUAACGAAGCUAACGCGUGAAGUUGACCGCCUGGGGAGUACGGUCGCAAGAUUA